UACGUAGGGUGCGAGCGUUGUCCGGAAUUACUGGGCGUAAAGAGCUCGUAGGUGGUUUGUCGCGUUGUUCGUGAAAACUCACAACUCAAUUGUGGGCGUGCGGGCGAUACGGGCAGACUGGAGUACUGCAGGGGAGACUGGAAUUCCUGGUGUAGCGGUGGAAUGCGCAGAUAUCAGGAGGAACACCGGUGGCGAAGGCGGGUCUCCUGGGCAGUAACUGACGCUGAGGAGCGAAAGCGUGGGGAGCAAACAGG
rnacentral:rRNA from 1 species